rnacentral:lncRNA from 1 species
GAAUAUACACAAAAAUGUACAAUCAUAUACACAACUAAAUCAUGUAUCAUCUCGUAUCUCAACACCCCCCCUCAAGUUGGAGGGGGAGACCACCUGCAACUUGGUGAGCAGCGGAAGGAGUAAAGUGCCAGGUAGGGGCUUAGUGAGCAAGUCGGCCAGCUGACGAGAAGUAGGCACAUGAAGCAACUUGAUAAAACCAGAAAGCAACAAGUCCCGAACAAAAUGGCAAUCCANNN